UACGGGGGGGGCAAGCGUUGUUCGGAAUUACUGGGCGUAAAGGGCGCGUAGGCGGCCUGCUAAGUCGGAUGUGAAAUCCCUCGGCUCAACCGAGGAACUGCAUCCGAUACUGGCGGGCUUGAAUCCGGGAGAGGGAUGUGGAAUUCCAGGUGUAGCGGUGAAAUGCGUAGAUAUCAAGAGGAACACCAGUGGCGAAGGCGCCGCUCUGGGCCGUAACUGACGCUGAGGAGCGAAAGCGUGGGUAGCAAACAGG
rnacentral:rRNA from 1 species